rnacentral:rRNA from 1 species
CCUACGGGAGGCAGCAGUGGGGAAUAUUGCACAAUGGGGGAAACCCUGAUGCAGCGACGCCGCGUGAGUGAAGAAGUAAUUCGUUACGUAAAGCUCUAUCAGCAGGGAAGAAAAUGACGGUACCUGAGUAAGAAGCCCCGGCUAACUACGUGCCAGCAGCCGCGGUAAUACGUAGGGGGCCAGCGUUAUCCGGAUUUACUGGGGGUAAAGGGAGCGUAGACGGUGCACCAAGUCCGGAGUGAAAUGCCGGAGCUUAACUGCGGAACUGCCUUGGAAACUGGCAAACUUGAGUGCGGGAGGGGUAGGCGGAAUGCCUGGUGUAGCGGUGAAAUGCGUAGAUAUCAGGAGGAACACCGGUGGCGAAGGCGGCUUACUGGACCGCAACUGACGUUGAGGCUCGAAAGCGUGGGGAGCGAACAGGAUUAGAUACCCGGGUAGUC